rnacentral:lncRNA from 1 species
GACAAAGGCUCUCAUGUACAACUAGAUAUAAUGAGAUGAACUUUUUUGUGUUUUUGUAGCUGUGCAUUUUACCUUUUAAGUAUACCUUUAUUGAUUUCAUUGAAAUAAUCACUUAUCAGUUUAUUUCACUGAAUCACAAAUCCAGUUUUCAAGUUUAUCUUGAAACUCAUUAGUAUAUUAGUAGAUUUUAUUAAUUAAGUAAACUUCUACACUGAUAUUUUACACUCUUAAA